UAAAGCUUCACAGUAUUGAGACACUUUAUGGACCGCUGUGUGGGGAUUAGUGCUUGUGAGGGUGGAGGAUCCUGUAAAGCAUCGAUAUAAUCACACAAUACUUCCUUUAGUCCUGAGUCUCCACUUUUCUUAGCUGAUCGAACAGAUUCAUAUCUCCACACAGUCUCAUGAUGUUCUCCUUCUUUCUCCUCGUCUGUCUGAUGCUUUCUGGAGCUGCAUCUCAUCAUCACUCCCGGAAAUCAUCUUCUAGUGAUGAGCAGGUUUUCCUUCGCUACCCCGUACAGCAGCCCAACUGGUUUAACAUCCUGUGGCCGUUGUAUCCAUGGAUUAUACCUGGACCCGCCCCUGUUCCGGGCCCCGCCCCUGUUCCAGGCCCCGCCCCUGUUCCAGGCCCCGCCCCCACACCUGGGCCACCCGUUACCACUGCAAACCGUGGAGACUCUGGUUAAAACUAAUCUGUACACAAAUCUGUCCUGAGCAAAUAACAGAAAACUCCGAGUUCAUGACCAAGAAGAUGAAGAGAAUGUUUGAUGUCGUUAAUAAAUGUAGAGAUGAAGAUGUGUAAAUUCCUGAGAGCUCAAUAUUAAGUGUUGCAUCAUCAUCAUCAUUCCUCUGUGACGUGUUACUGAAAUUGUUCAUUUCACUUCUUUAUUACUGCAUUUGUGUGAGUUUGGUCUUGGUCAUGAACUCUGACCUUUUUGUGUUGUACACGAAGACAAACAGUUCAGACGCACA